CUCAAAUCAGGUAGGACUACCCGCUGAACU
rnacentral:rRNA from 2 species